rnacentral:rRNA from 1 species
CAGCACCUCAAGUGGUCAGGAUGAUUAUUGGGCCUAAAGCAUCCGUAGCCUGCUUUGUUAGUUUUCGGUUAAAUCCAUACGCUCAACGUAUGGGCUGCCGGGAAUACUGCAAAGCUAGGGAGUGGGAGAGGUAGACGGUACUCGGUAGGAAGGGGUAAAAUCCUUUGAUCUAUUGAUGACCACCUGUGGCGAAGGCGGUCUACCAGAACACGUCCGACGGUGAGGGAUGAAAGCUGGGGGAACAAACCGGAUUAGAUACCCGAGUAGUCC